UUGCUUCUUUGCUGACGAGUGGGGACGGUUUUAGUAAUGUCUGGGAAACUGCCUGAUGGAGGGGGAUAACUACUGGAAACGGUAGCUAAUACCGCAUAACGUCGCAAGACCAAAGAGGGGGACCUUCGGGCCUCUUGCCAUCGGAUGUGCCCAGAUGGGAUUAGCUAGUAGGUGGGGUAACGGCUCACCUAGGCGACGAUCCCUAGCUGGUCUGAGAGGAUGACCAGCCACACUGGAACUGAGACACGGUCCAGACUCCUACGGGAGGCAGCAGUGGGGAAUAUUGCACAAUGGGCGCAAGCCUGAUGCAUCCAUGCCGCGUGUAUGAAGAAGGCCUUCGGGUUGUAAAG
rnacentral:rRNA from 1 species